rnacentral:rRNA from 1 species
UAAGGAAUAUUGCGCAAUGGGCGAAAGCCUGACGCAGCGACGCCGCGUGGGGGAUGAAGGUCUUCGGAUUGUAAACCCCUUUCGGGAGGGAAGAUGGAAUGGGGUAACCCAUUCGGACGGUACCUCCAGAAGCAGCCACGGCUAACUUCGUGCCAGCAGCCGCGGUAAUACGAAGGUGGCAAGCGUUGUUCGGAUUUACUGGGCGUACAGGGAGCGUAGGCGGUUCGGUAAGCCCUUUGUGAAAUCUCCAGGCUUAACCUGGAACAGUCGGAGGGGACUGCUGGGCUAGAGGACGGGAGAGGAGCGCGGAAUUCCCGGUGUAGCGGUGAAAUGCGUAGAGAUCGGGAGGAAGGCCGGUGGCGAAGGCGGCGCUCUGGAACGUUUCUGACGCUGAGGCUCGAAAGCGUGGGGAGCAAACAGGAUUAGAUACCCCCGUAGUCCCUGAGCGGGCUGGCAAGGCGCAU